rnacentral:rRNA from 1 species
AACCUGGUUGAUCCUGCCAGUAGUCAUGUGCUAGUCUACAAAGAUAAAGCCAUGCAUGUCUAAGUACAAGCCUAAAUAAGGUGAAACCGCGAAUGGCUCAUAAAAUCACACCUAAUGUACUGGAUAGUCUCAGUUACUAGGAUAACUGCGGUAAUUACUGGAGCUAAUACAUGCGCAAAACUGCGACUCACGGAGCAGUGCUUUAAUAAGAUCAAAACCAAACGGCUUUGCCGUUACCUAUUGGUGAUUCUGAAUAACUAUGGGCUGAUCGCAUGGCCUUGAGCCGGCGACGUAUCCUUCCAUGGUGUGCCCUAUCAACUGUCAACUGUGGCAUAGAACGCCCACAGUGGUUUUGACGGGUAACGGGGAA